rnacentral:rRNA from 1 species
AACGAACGCUGGCGGCAUGCCUAACACAUGCAAGUCGAACGAGAUCUUCGGGUCUAGUGGCGCACGGGUGCGUAACGCGUGGGAAUCUGCCCUUUGGUUCGGAAUAACAGUUGGAAACGACUGCUAAUACCGGAUGAUGACGAAAGUCCAAAGAUUUAUCGCCAGAGGAUGAGCCCGCGUAGGAUUAGCUAGUUGGUGUGGUAAAGGCGCACCAAGGCGACGAUCCUUAGCUGGUCUGAGAGGAGGAUCAGCCACACUGGGACUGAGACACGGCCCAGACUCCUACGGGUGGCAGCAGUGGGGAAUCUUGGACAAUGGGCGAAAGCCUGAUCCAGCAAUGCCGCGUGAGUGAUGAAGGCCUUAGGUUUGUAAAGCUCUUUUACCCGGGAUGAUAAUGACAGUACCGGGAGAAUAAGCUCCGGCUAACUCCGUGCCAUCCGCCGCCGUAA